rnacentral:rRNA from 1 species
CCUGAACGCUGGCGGCGUGGCUAAGACAUGCAAGUCGCACGGACCCGCAAGGGUUAGUGGCGAACGGGUGAGUAAUGAAUCGCUAAUGUACCCCGGACUCUGGGAUAGCCGGCCGAAAGGCCGGGUAAUACCAGAUGAUAUAACCGCUCCGCAUGGAGUGGUUCUCAAAGGUCCGCCGGUCUGGGAGCAGGCGAUUUCGUAUCAGCUAGUUGGUGAGGUAACGGCUCACCAAGGCGACGACGCGUAGCCGGACUGAGAGGUUGGCCGGCCACAUUGGGACUGAGACACUGCCCAGACUCCUACGGGGGCUGCA